CACCGCUACAAAUAUAUGUGUAUAUACAAAUGAUACUUUCCAGACCGAAAUGGCAGCUUAUGUAUCCAAGUUCCACCGCCACCUGUCCUUCCCUGUCCUCCGCCGAUCUUCGGCUGGAGGUCCACAUCGUCGCCGAUUUCGAACUGGAUGUCACACAGUCUUCAGACAGAGUUGGAUUCGGAUCGCCAUGGUCCUCGUCGUCGUCGGUUUUUUAAUAGACAACCUGCCGCCGGUCUCGUGGUCAAACUCUGUCUGGAUGUUGUCGUCCCACAUUCUAAGUUCUUAAUUGGUUUAUAAGAAAGUUUUAGGUUUUUCCCUUUUUUUGCGGGGCGUGUGUUGCUCAGAAAAUCGUAUCGCGUAGUGUUUAAUCAAGCUAUAUAAUCUGUUAUCUGUGUACCUUAUUUGUGAUAUCCUAACCAACAACAACAAAAUAGUUUAAAAAACUUAACGAAUUUUGUUGCCUAAUAAAAC